rnacentral:rRNA from 1 species
AACGAACGCUGGCGGCAGGCCUAACACAUGCCAGUCGAACGCCCCGCAAGGGGAGUGGCAGACGGGUGAGUAACACGUGGGAACCUUCCCUAUAGUACGGAAUAGCCCAGGGAAACUUGGAGUAAUACCGUAUACGCCCGAAAGGGGAAAGAAUUUCGCUAUAGGAUGGGCCCGCGUAGGAUUAGCUAGUUGGUGAGGUAAUGGCUCACCAAGGCGACGAUCCUUAGCUGGUUUGAGAGAACGACCAGCCACACUGGGACUGAGACACGGCCCAGACUCCUACGGGAGGCAGCAGUGGGGAAUAUUGGACAAUGGGCGCAAGCCUGAUCCAGCCAUGCCGCGUGAGUGAUGAAGGCCUUAGGGUUGUAAAGCUCUUUUGGCGGGGACGAUAAUGACGGUACCCGCAGAAUAAGUCCCGGCUAACUUCGU